rnacentral:rRNA from 1 species
AGGAUCAACGCUGGCGGCGUGCCUAAUGCAUGCAAGUCGCACGGGGUACUCUUCGGAGGACUCACGUGGCGGACGGGUGAGGAACACGUGGGUAAUCUACCUCGAGGAGGGGGAUAGCUUCCGGAAACGGGAGGUAAUUCCGCAUGAGCUCAUGUCCCGCGUCGGGGAUAUGAGGAAAGGGUGCAAGCCCGCCUUGAGAGGAGCCUGCGGCCGAUUAGCUAGUUGGUGGGGUAACGGCCUACCAAGGCAGUGAUCGGUAGCUGGUCUGAGAGGAUGGCCAGCCACACGGGGACUGAGACACGGCCCCGACUCCUACGGGAGGCAGCAGCAAGGAAUUUUCCGCAAUGGGCGAAAGCCUGACGGAGCAACGCCGCGUGUGGGAUGACGCUUUUCGGAGUGUAAACCACUGUUCGUGGGGACGAAGCACUGACGGUACCCACGGAGGAAGGCCCGGCUAACUACGUGCCAGCAGCCGC